rnacentral:rRNA from 1 species
AUUGAACGCUGGCGGCAUGCCUUACACAUGCAAGUCGAACGGUAACGCGGGGCAACCUGGCGACGAGUGGCGAACGGGUGAGUAAUGCAUCGGAACGUGCCCAGUAGUGGGGGAUAGCCCGGCGAAAGCCGGAUUAAUACCGCAUACGACCUACGGGUGAAAGGGGGGGAUCGCAAGACCUCUCGCUAUUGGAGCGGCCGAUGUCAGAUUAGGUAGUUGGUGGGGUAAAAGCCUACCAAGCCGACGAUCUGUAGCUGGUCUGAGAGGACGACCAGCCACACUGGGACUGAGACACGGCCCAGACUCCUACGGGAGGCAGCAGUGGGGAAUUUUGGACAAUGGGGGAAACCCUGAUCCAGCCAUGCCGCGUGCGGGAAGAAGGCCUUCGGGUUGUAAGCCGCUUUUGUCAGGGAAGAAACGCUCUGGGCUAAUACCUUGGAGUAAUGACGGUACCUGAAGAAUAAGCACCGGCUAACUACGUGCCAGCCGCCGCAGUAA